ACCUGUUCCCAUGCCGAACACAGCAGUUAAGCUCUUCAGCGCCGAUGGUAGUCGGGUAUACCCCCGUGAGAGUAGGACGCCGCCACAU
rnacentral:rRNA from 1 species